rnacentral:rRNA from 1 species
ACGGAGGAGGCGAGCGUUGUUCGGAAUCAUUGGGCGUAAAGGGCUCGUAGGCGGACCUGUGUGUCUUGCGUGAAAUCUCCACCGCUUACCGGGGAGGGUGCGUAGGAAACUGCCGGUCUUGAGUAUGAUAGAGGGUCGCGGAAUUCCGGGUGUAGCGGUGGAAUGCGUAGAUAUCCGGAGGAACACCGGUGGCGAAGGCGGCGGCCUGGAUCAAUACUGACGCUGAGGAGCGAAAGCUAGGGUAGCAAACGG